rnacentral:misc_RNA from 1 species
AUGAGAGACAUGUGAGUCAUCGAAUCUUUGAACGCACAUUGCGCCCUUUGGUAUUCCAAAGGGCAUGCCUGUUCGAGCGUCAUUUGUACCCUCAAGCUUUGCUUGGUGUUGGGCGUCUUGUCUCCAGUCCGCUGGAGACUCGCCUUAAAGUCAUUGGCAGCCGGCCUACUGGUUUCGGAGCGCAGCACAAGUCGCACUCUUUUCCAGCCAAGGUCAGCGUCCAACAAGCCUUUUUUCAACUUUUGACCUCGGAUCAGGUAGGGAUACCCGCUGAACUUAAGCAUAUCAAUAAGCGGAGGA